ACACACGGCGGGUGCUAACGUCCGUCGUGAAGAGGGAAACAACCCAGACCGCCAGCUAAGGUCCCAAAGUCAUGGUUAAGUGGGAAACGAUGUGGGAAGGCCCAGACAGCCAGGAUGUUGGCUUAGAAGCAGCCAUCAUUUAAAGAAAGCGUAAUAGCUCACUGGUCGAGUCGGCCUGCGCGGAAGAUGUAACGGGGCUAAACCAUGCACCGAAGCUGCGGCAGCGACACUGUGUGUUGUUGGGUAGGGGAGCGUUCUGUAAGCCUGCGAAGGUGUGCUGUGAGGCAUGCUGGAGGUAUCAGAAGUGCGAAUGCUGACAUAAGUAACGAUAAAGCGGGUGAAAAGCCCGCUCGCCGGAAGACCAAGGGUUCCUGUCCAACGUUAAUCGGGGCAGGGUGAGUCGACCCCUAAGGCGAGGCCGAAAGGCGUAGUCGAUGGGAAACAGGUUAAUAUUCCUGUACUUGGUGUUACUGCGAAGGGGGGACGGAGAAGGCUAUGUUGGCCGGGCGACGGUUGUCCCGGUUUAAGCGUGUAGGCUGGUUUUCCAGGCAAAUCCGGAAAAUCAAGGCUGAGGCGUGAUGACGAGGCACUACGGUGCUGAAGCAACAAAUGCCCUGCUUCCAGGAAAAGCCUCUAAGCAUCAGGUAACAUCAAAUCGUACCCCAAACCGACACAGGUGGUCAGGUAGAGAAUACCAAGGCGCUUGAGAGAACUCGGGUGAAGGAACUAGGCAAAAUGGUGCCGUAACU
rnacentral:rRNA from 1 species